GACUUGUAACUCUUUAGCAGUGUUCUCCUGUAUUUCUUUAAGUGUGUUAGGGUGCCCUGGACUGUGCGAAGUGGGUGUUCUGGGUUCUGAUGAUGAUGGAGCUGAGAAGGGUGUAGGGACAGGACACACCUGGCAGGACUGAGAAGUGAAUGUUAUUGAGGUUCAUGAUGCAAAAUUCUCAAAUAACCAGUAAAAAUGAGAUUACAUCCGGCUGUAGAAGAUCUACAAGAAGAAGGUAGAGGGAGAGCAGCCUUUGGAUAUCUGCUAUAUUCCAGAAACUGUGACUCAUUUCCCUGCCAACAUGAUGACCACCACUGCUGACCACAUCCUUCCAGAUGAGGCCGUCACAGAGCUGAUGCCAAGAUAUGCUUGCAGACAGUAGCCUGGUAUGGCUGUCUUCCGAGAGGCUCUGCCAGCACGUGACUAAUACAGAUGCAGACACUCAAAGCCUGAGGACCGCAAUGGAUAAGUUAGGGGAAUGGAUGAAGGAGCUGAAGGGGAUUGCAACGCCAUAGGAAGAACAACAGCUUCAAUUAACAGAACACCUCAGAGCUCCCAGGCUUUCAGGAAACAAACGACAAGAAAUUCCAGAAUUGUACAGAGAGGAAUGAGAACGUCUUAUCCCUUUAAGAGGGACAAAUUCACCCACAACCCCACGGGUAUACUGAGAAGAAACAACUCAUCAAAAGGGAGAAGAAGGUUACAAUGUGAUGUUCAACCCAAAAUAAAA
rnacentral:lncRNA from 1 species